rnacentral:rRNA from 1 species
UCGACGAUGAAUCUUCUAGCUUGCUAGAAGUGGAUUAGUGGCGCACGGGUGAGUAAUGCAUAGGUUAUGUGCCCUUUAGUCUGGGAUAGCCACUGGAAACGGUGAUUAAUACUGGAUACUCCCUACGGGGGAAAGUUUUUCGCUAAAGGAUCAGCCUAUGUCCUAUCAGCUUGUUGGUGAGGUAAUGGCUCACCAAGGCUAUGACGGGUAUCCGGCCUGAGAGGGUGAUCGGACACACUGGAACUGAGGCACGGUCCAGACUCCUACGGGAGGCAGCAGUAGGGAAUAUUGCUCAAUGGGGGAAACCCUGAAGCAGCAACGCCGCGUGGAGGAUGAAGGUUUUAGGAUUGUAAACUCCUUUUGUUAGAGAAGAUUAUGACGGUAUCUAACGAAUAAGCACCGGCUAACUCCGUGCCAGCAGCCGCGGUAAUACGGAGGGUGCAAGCGUUACUCGGAAUCACUGGGCGUAAAGAGUGCGUAGGCGGGGUAAUAAGUCAGAUGUGAAAUCCUGUAGCUUAACUACAGAACUGCAUUUGAAACUGUUACUCUGGAGUGUGGGAGAGGUAGGUGGAAUUCUUGGUGUAGGGGUAAAAUCCGUAGAGAUCAAGAGGAAUACUCAUUGCGAAGGCGACCUGCUGGAACAUUACUGACGCUGAUGCACGAAAGCGUGGGGAGCAAACAGGAUUAGAUACCCUGGUAGUCCACGCCCUAAACGAUGGAUGCUAGUUGUUGCCUUGCUUGUCAGGGCAGUAAUGCAGCUAACGCAUUAAGCAUCCCGCCUGGGGAGUACGGUCGCAAGAUUAAAACUCAAAGGAAUAGACGGGGACCCGCACAAGCGGUGGAGCAUGUGGUUUAAUUCGAAGAUACGCGAAGAACCUUACCUAGGC